rnacentral:Y_RNA from 1 species
GGCUGGUCUGAAGGCAGCGAGUUAUCUCAGUUGAUUUUCAUAGUUAGUUGCAGGUUGAACUCCUUGCUCCACUCUUGCCCCCCUUCUCACUUCUGCACUUCAUGAGUCUUAA